rnacentral:rRNA from 1 species
UGAUAUAUCUGGUUGAUCCUGCCAGUAGUCAUACGCUAGUCUCAAAGAUUAAGACAUGCAUGUGUAAGUGUAAAUAUAAAAGUUUGGAACUGCGAAUGGCUCAUUAUAUCAGUUAUAGUUUAUUUGGUGAAGUGUACUAGUUGGAUAACCGUAGUAAUUCUAGGGCUAAUACAUGAGAAAGUCCUCUGGUGAGGGGUGUUUAUUAGAAUGAAAACCAUAUGCUUCGGCAUGAUAGUGAGUAAUAGUAACGUAUCGUAUCGCAUGGUUAAUGUAGCGAUGAGUCUUUCAAGUUUCUGCCCUAUCAGCUUUCGAUGGUAGUAUAUGGGCCUACCAUGGCAGUAACGGGUAGCGAAGAAUUUGGGUUCGAUUUCGGAGAGGGAGCCUGAGAGAUGGCUACCACAUCCAAGGAAGGCAGCAGGCGCGUAAAUUACCCAAUCCUGACGCAGGGAGGUAGUGACAAUAAAUCACAAUGCGGGACUAUCGGUCUUGCAAUUGGAUUGAGAGCAGAUGUACAACUCUUGUGGAGAAGCCAUUGGAGGGCAAGUCUGGAGGCAGCAGCCGCGGUAAUUCCAAUGGCAAAACGGGGGGGGA